rnacentral:tRNA from 1 species
GAGGGAAUGCCGGAGCGGUCAAACGGGACAGACUCAAGAUCUGUUAGCUUAGUGCUUACGGGGGUUCGAAUCCUCCUUCCCUCA